rnacentral:lncRNA from 1 species
UGUGAUUGGGAGAAUGCAAUCUAAAGAAGUUAGAUUCAUGAGACCAUUCUUUCGUAUACAUAUCCUAAACAUUCCUGAUCAUAGGAUUGCCAAUUGGGCAUUGACAGUCCGUUAAGAUCAGUACAUGUUGUGUCUUCUCUCAGGGAGAGUGACUAGUCUCGAGUCAUUGGUGUGUGUGACAUCAAGACAAGUACGUAGGUGCUCAAUAGAGAAUGAGUUCACUGAACACGAUCAACAAAGAGUUCUCAUAUUCAUGUCACAUGAGACUCAUGGUUGGGAUAAUGCAAAGUAGUCCUUUGACCUGAGGCAUCAUAGUUGUCUUGUGGUUAAGUCCUUGAUCUUUGAUUAUGUCAAAAGUCACUCCAAAAAGAGGGUGUCCACGGCAUAGUUGGGGUUAAGCCACUUAGCCAUGGAGGCAAGUGAAUGCGCAACAAGGGAUCUCUAACCUUCAAACCGUUUGGGGGAGAAUACUCUAUGAUAUGAUUAAGAAUCUCUGGCCAGAGUAUGAAUGAGAUUUAGGAAGUCGUUCCAAAUCACAUUCAAGGUAAUCAUAUAAGCACACGAAUUACAUUGGAUAAUAGACAUGAAUAAACUAUCAAACCAAACAAUGUGGUCAAGAGUAUUGUAUUAGAGAAAGACC